GAAGAUGAUGCAUCAUGCAUGCACUGGGCUCUGAGCAGUUUUUUCUGUAUUAUCGAUUAUUGAUGGAAACGCAAUAUAGAAAGCUAUUUCUGACCU